UCAUAACACAAACAUUCACUGAGGUUUCAAGCUGGGACAUCUGGGAGAACAGCUAUGGAGCAAAAUGCUAAAAAGAAAAGGUGCAUUCAUCCUAACUGGGACAGCUUUUACCCCGGAGUGGCCAGGGAAGUGCUGUCUUCAUUUGGCCAGCAAUAAUUAAUGGCAGGAAUUCCCAGCCAGUCCACCCUUGGACCUGAAGGCUUCUCUCGGAUAGCAGGCAGAAAACCUGGCUUUAAAAGAGGAGCUCAGACAGGAAGCAGCAAUCUUCCAGGAGGAUUUCUGAGUCAAGCAGGAGAGCAACUGGCUUCUUGAAGUGUGAAUUUCAAAGAUCCCUAAAACCCUUGGCUGCACAGUUGGAGCAGGACUGAAGAACCAGCACCCCAGAGGACCUGCAUGUCCCCAGCACUUGUACCUUGAGUCAUGGCUGAGCUGCACAAGCCUCUUCAGAGUGAGAAACCUCCAUGCUGGGGUCGGCUCUGAAACAGCUGAUUUGUGUCAACACCAAGUCCAGGCUGCUUUUGAAAGUGUCUCAUGUCUGUGCCUGAGCUCCCAAUCCCAUCUGAGACACCAAGGUGUGCUCAGAAAUAGUGUAACAACAGGAGGGACAGCAGGUGAGUGUGUGCAUGGGGACAUUGCUGUCCCUGGGUCCUGUUAAAGGCCUCGGUGUGCUGCAGCCACUGCAAGCAGCUCUAUAAAUUAGCAAUUCCUUUAACAGCUGUGUGCACAGCUGGGGCUAGAUCAGGCCCCUUUGGUGGGCAGAAGAGUGAUGUGAGCUGUGAGCAUGCUGAGUAGGUGUAGAAAGGGGGUUUGUGUGGUUUUAUUCACUAAGGGAUUGAUAAGCUAUUCAGUAAAGGCUUAUGGGGGAAAGUGAGUGCACUUGUGAUGGAGAUUGUGAUUUCUUUUUUCCUUGUUAUCAAUACUCUGUCCAGUCUGCCAUGGGCUUUCCUCUGACCCUGCUGCUCAUAUACUUUUACAUUUCCUCUGUCAAUUAGGCUAAAAUAUGAGGGAAAAGGCAAGAGAAGGGCUCUUGUCAAGUGGUUCUCCCAGGGUUAUGAACACAGGUCUUAAAAACUGCCUCAUUAAAUCUCCCUCUCAAGGCCUUUCAGAAUGUUUCUGAUUUAACUGUUUUGCAUCAUACCAUUCCAAUUUUAAUUUCUUCCGGAGGUGAGAUGCUGCUACAUUUGCCAAAUAUCUUAUGUGUUACAACAACCACUGACCUUUCCCUUUUUCUGAAGGAUGGUACUUUUGGCACACCCAGGAAGCCAGUCCAUAAGACAGUGUUUUUCUGCCCUUUUGAAUCCUGCCAUUUCCAGGCAGUAGGAGUUCACAGUGAGAGUAAA